rnacentral:ncRNA from 1 species
AUAAAGUUUUAUUUUGGCUUUUAGUAUUAAUCUAUAUAAAAUUUAUAUGUAAAUUUUUAUAAAGAUUAGUUUUAAUAGAUAAUUUUUUAUUUGCAGUAUAUAAUUUUAAAUUUUAAAGAAAUUUAGAUUUAGUUAUAUAUAAAAAUUUUAACUUAUCUUGUGCCAGCAGUUGCGGUUAUACAAGAAAAGUAAUUAAUUUAGUUUAAUUUAUAGUAAGAGAAAAGUAUUUAGUUUAAUAUUGUUUAUUUUAGGUGAAAUUUUAUAUUCAAUAAAAAUUAAUUAGUUAUUUUUGUUCUAUUAAAUUUAUUAUUAAACUAGGAUUAGAUACCCUAUUAUUAUAAAUGUAAAUUGAUAAGUUAAUUAGUAAUUGUUAUGUUCAUGAAAAUUAAAAGAUUUGGCGGUAUUUUAGUCUAUUCAGAGGAACUUGUCUUAUAAUUGAUAUUCCACGAUUUAUAUUACUUAUUUUAUUAAUUUGCAUAUCGCUGUAGUUGAAUAUUUUUAAAGGAUUUAAAUGUUCAUGAUUUUUUUUAAAAAUAAAAUCAAGUCAAGGUGUAGUUUAUAAAUAAGAAUAGAUGAGUUACAAUAAAUAUAUUUAUGGAUUAUUUAAUUAAAGUUAUUUAUGAAAAUGGAUUUGAUAGUAAUAUGGUAUAAUUAUAUUAUAUGAUUAUAGCUCUAAAAUAUGCACAUAUCGCCCGUCACUCUCAGUAUUAUUUGAGAUAAGUCGUAACAAAGUAGAUGUACUGGAAAGUGUAUCUAGUUACAA